AUUGAACGCUGGCGGCAGGCCUAACACAUGCAAGUCGAGCGGAGCGGCGGAAGGGUGAGUAAUGCCUAGGAAUAUGCCUGGUAGUGGGGGAUAACGUCCGGAAACGGGCGCUAAUACCGCAUACUAUCAGAUGAGCCUAGGUCGGAUUAGCUAGUUGGUGGGGUAAAGGCCUACCAAGGCGACGAUCCGUAACUGGUAUGAGAGGAUGAUCCGUCACCCUGUAACGUAGACACGGUCCAGACUCCUUCGGGAGGCAGCAGUGGGGAAUAUUGCACAAUGUGCGCAAGCCUGAUGCAGCCAUGCCGCGUGUAUGAAGAAGGCCUUCGGGUUGUAAAGUACUUUCAGCGGGGAGGCGUUACCCGCAGAAGAAGCACCGGCUAACUUCGUGCCAGCAGCCGCGGUAAUUC
rnacentral:rRNA from 1 species